CGAGCCGAGCCGGCCGGACGGCGGCGGCGGCGCGCGCGUGGGGAGCUUUCUUCUCUCUCCAAGCUGUUUAAGCUUUCAUGGUAAGUGAACAUAUAUAUAUUGCUCAACUUCUCUUCCUCUAAGCGAUGUGGGACAAGUCUCCUUACAUCAUAAAUGAUGAUACUUUGGGCUGUUGAUCACACAGGCCCAAGUCAUUUGCUUUUCACAUAUUUCAUUAAAGCCUAAAGGCUAUUAAUGGAUCCAACAACACUUUACUCAUCGGACAUGUUUAUCGUCUCGUCAGCUUUGAGGAGGUUUUGAAUGAGUUUGCGACGAAGAAGUGUGUGAAGCUUGGGAAGCUAAUGAAAGAAGGAGGAGGACUCGAGCUGAAGAAGAGGAAGAAACACAAGCAGAAGACGGGUCAAGAAACGGGUCGGAUCAACCGUCAAUCUGAUCCGAGUGAAAAUGUGGGCAACGAUACGGUCGCCGGAGAAGACGGUGUAGAUGGGUUUAUUAUAAGGCGGAGCCAAAGCGGAGGAAGAGGUGGAGGUGGCUGGAGGCCAGCUUUACACAGCAUUCCGGAACUUGGACCCUCAUGAGACUUUAAAAGCGUAGAUAUUCCUUGAAGCUAUCCGACAACAUUGACAUUAAAGUUUUAUGUAAAGCGAUGUUAUUAGUGUUAUAUAUGCUUUAAUGAAGAUUCAAAAUAUGUUAAAGAACUUUAGCUGUCCUAACGUUCAAUAUAUUCGAGAUUUAAAAGCUUA